rnacentral:ncRNA from 2 species
CGAUAUGUUGUGGCCGUCGGUCCCGACCGCGGCAACGCGCAAGGGUUAAUAGGGAAGCCGGUGUGACUCCGGCGCUGCCCCGCAGCGGUAUGUGGAAACGAAGGCCGUCAUUGGCACUGGCAUCCGGGGUUCGGGACUGAAGUCCCUCCUACAGGGGCUGGGAAGCGACGGUUGGUAGGAGAGGUUCACGCCUCGCGUCCACGAGCCCGAAGACCUGCCGACAGCCGCGCGAAGCA